UGAAGAGCAUCAGCAAAGCCCUCCUGCUCCUCCAGCUUGCGAGGAGACCCUCCCUGGAGCCUGAAGGGGACAUCUUCUACGGGCUCCAGGGAGGGUCUCCUUGCGUGCCGGAGUUGCAGUGGGGUUUUGCUGAGUCUCUUCA